GUUGGGAGCUCUCCCAUAUGGUCGACCUGCAGGCGGCCGCGAAUUCACUAGUGAUUAGAGUUUGAUCAUGGCUCAGAACGAACGCUGGCGGCAUGCCUAACACAUGCAAGUCGAACGAGAUCUUCGGGUCUAGUGGCGCACGGGUGCGUAACGCGUGGGAAUCUGCCCCUUGGUUCGGAAUAACCAUUGGAAACGAUGGCUAAUACCGGAUGAUGACGUUAAGUCCAAAGAUUUAUCGCCUGAGGAUGAGCCCGCGUAGGAUUAGCUAGUUGGUGUGGUAAAGGCGCACCAAGGCGACGAUCCUUAGCUGGUCUGAGAGGAUGAUCAGCCACACUGGGACUGAGACACGGCCCAGACUCCUACGGGAGGCAGCAGUGGGGAAUAUUGGACAAUGGGCGCAAGCCUGAUCCAGCAAUGCCGCGUGAGUGAUGAAGGCCUUAGGGUUGUAAAGCUCUUUUACCCGGGAUGAUAAUGACAGUACCGGGAGAAUAAGCUCCGGCUAACUCCGUGCCAGCAGCCGCGGUAAUACGAAUCGAAUUCCCGCGGCCGCCAUGGCG
rnacentral:rRNA from 1 species